GAUGAACGCUGGCGGCGUGCCUAGUACAUGCCAGUCGAGCGAACAGACGAGGAGCUUGCUCCUCUGACGUUAGCGGCGGACGGGUGAGUAACACGUGGAUAACCUACCUAUAAGACUGGGAUAACUUCGGGAAACCGGAGCUAAUACCGGAUAAUAUAUUGAACCGCAUGGUUCAAUAGUGAAAGACGGUUUUGCUGUCACUUAUAGAUGGAUCCGCGCCGCAUUAGCUAGUUGGUAAGGUAACGGCUUACCAAGGCAACGAUGCGUAGCCGACCUGAGAGGGUGAUCGGCCACACUGGAACUGAGACACGGUCCAGACUCCUACGGGAGGCAGCAGUAGGGAAUCUUCCGCAAUGGGCGAAAGCUUGACGGAGCAACGCCGCGUGAGUGAUGAAGGUCUUCGGAUCGUAAAACUCUGUUAUUAGGGAAGAACAAAUGUGUAAGUAACUAUGCACGUCUUGACGGUACCUAAUCAGAAAGCCACGGCUAACUACGUG
rnacentral:rRNA from 1 species